AACGAACGCUGGCGGCAAGCUUAACACAUGCAAGUCGAACGCAUCCUUCGGGGUGAGUGGCAGACGGGUGAGUAACGCGUGGGAACGUGCCCUUCAGUUCGGGAUAACCCAGGGAAACUUGGGCUAAUACCGGAUACGUGCGAGAGCAGAAAGAUUUAUCGCUGAAGGAUCGGCCCGCGUCUGAUUAGCUAGUUGGUGGGGUAAUGGCCCACCAAGGCGACGAUCAGUAGCUGGUCUGAGAGGAUGAUCAGCCACAUUGGGACUGAGACACGGCCCAAACUCCUACGGGAGGCAGCAGUGGGGAAUAUUGGACAAUGGGCGCAAGCCUGAUCCAGCCAUGCCGCGUGAGUGAUGAAGGCCUUAGGGUUGUAAAGCUCUUUCGUCCGGGACGAUAAUGACGGUACCGGAAGAAGAAGCCCCGGCUAACUUCGUGCCAGCCGCCGCCGCUG
rnacentral:rRNA from 1 species